GCCGGGGGCCGCCCGCGGGCCCGCCCGACCCCGAUGAGCCGGAGGCGCCGGCAGGCGCAGGAAGCACUGAGCUAAAUCUCCGGCCCAGUUGACAGAUUUUUUUUUUUUUUGGUACCGCGGAUUGAACUUGGGACCUUGCGCUUGCAAGGCAGCCGCCAGAACCACUGAGCUAAAUCCCCGGCCCUCCAGUUGACUGAUUUUCAAACAUGUUGCCUUGAAAUGCCCAGCCUGCUGGCCACAGCCACUCCUCCUGUGCCCUCAGGGCCCCCUUGCCUCUUGCAGUUUGGCCCAUGAAAGUAGGAGGAAGAUGUGCUUGGGCGUUGGUCCAUUGUGCAGCUCUGUGCUCCGAGGAAUAAAGCAGCAGUGGUGUUACUGUGGCACUGGCUCUUCCCUGGGAGUCGCUCUCUGUGGGCUUUGGAAACAUUGGCUUUUAAGGCUUGCCCAGCAAGUUGAUGACUCAGUUGGAAAACCCAGGCCUGCGAGUGGUGCUUUCUGCUGUCCCUCUGCGUGGCCAUGCAGCAGGACUGUGACCACGGAUGUGGCAUCCGGUGAGGUGGCCACCAGCCACGUGUGACUUGGAGUACCUGACAAGUAACUGGUGCACCUGAGGAAGCGCAGUGUGUGUGUGCGGCGCCUGGUCACGCUGCUGCAUGCAUGUGAGACAGCCAGGAUGUAAUGUGAUCGGUAC
rnacentral:lncRNA from 1 species